rnacentral:rRNA from 1 species
UACGUAGGGUGCGAGCGUUAAUCGGAAUUACUGGGCGUAAAGCGCGCGUAGGCGGCUUUGCAAGUCGGGUGUGAAAUCCCCAGGCUCAACCUGGGAACUGCAUUCGAGACUGCAUUGCUAGAGUAUGGGAGAGGGAAGUGGAAUUUCAGGUGUAGCGGUGAAAUGCGUGAUAUAUGUGAAGGAACAUCAGUGGCGAAAGCGACUUCCUGGACCAAUACUGACGCUCAUGUGCGAAAGCGUGGGGAGCAAACAGG